UACGUAGGGUGCGAGCGUUAAUCGGAAUUACUGGGCGUAAAGCGUGCGCAGGCGGUUUUGUAAGCCAGAUGUGAAAUCCCCGGGCUUAACCUGGGAAUGGCAUUUGGGACUGCAAGGCUGGAGUUUGGCAGAGGAGACUGGAAUUCCUGGUGUAGCAGUGAAAUGCGUAGAUAUCAGGAGGAAUACCGAUGGCGAAGGCAGGUCUCUGGGCUAUAACUGACGCUCAUGCACGAAAGCGUGGGGAG
rnacentral:rRNA from 1 species